rnacentral:lncRNA from 1 species
CCCCUUUUUCUCAUAACCCACAAGAACAACCAUCAUAAUUGGAGUAAACCUCCACAGUAUACAAUCCAAUAAAUGGAGUGCCCUCCAAGCAUAAAUUCUCAAAUUAAUGAUAUCACCACAAUCUUCAUACUUGGUUUAAUUCUUCAAUCAAUUAAGUGACUACAUGUCACACUUAUACAAUCUUCCCAUGAGGUACUCUCCUACGAC